UGGCGGCCUUGACCACGGCGCGGGUCGACGAGGUCCCGAGCACCCCGGCCAGCAGGCGCUCGGUGUGUUCGAUCCAGUCGCCGUCGGC
rnacentral:tRNA from 2 species